rnacentral:rRNA from 1 species
UAAAUGAACUUAAAUUCAACUUAAAAUAUUUUAACAAUUAAAGUAAAAAAUAGUAUUUUAAAGUUAAUUAAUAGAGGUUCAGCUCUAUUAAUAAAGGAUACAACCUAAAACAAUAAAUAAAGAUUAUAAUAAUUAAAGAAAUUAACUAUGUGGGCCUAAAAGCAGCAAUCAAAUAAAAAGCGUCAAAGCUUAAUUUAAUAAAUCUUAUUAUAACAAUAAAGUAUCUUAAUUUAUUAAAACUAUUAAGUCAAUCUAUAAAAAUAGAUGUGAUUAUUCUAGAAUGAGUAAUAAGAAAAGUAUUCUCUUAGUGCAAGUGUAGAUCAGAACGAAUAUUUCACUGAUAUUUAACGAACCUUUAGAAGGAAAAAUAAUAUUUUACAAGAGAAACUUAUUUAACCUAUCGUUAACCCAACACAGAAGCACAUUAGAAAGAUUAAAAAUAUAGGAAGGAACUCGGCAAACAUGAACUUCGCCUGUUUACCAAAAACAUCGCCUCUUGCAAUUAAAGUAUAAGAGGUCCUGCCUGCCCAGUGACACUAAGUUUAACGGCCGCGGUAUUAUGACCGUGCAAAGGUAGCGUAAUCACUUGUCUUUUAAAUAAAGACCAGUAUGAAUGGCAAGACGAAAGUUCAACUGUCUCCCUAAAUUAAUCAAUGAAAUUGAUUUUUUCGUGCAGAAAGCGGAAAUAUAAUUAUAAGACGAGAAGACCCUAUGGAGCUUUAAACAUAUGAUCAUUGCGUAACAUAACCCAAAAUGAAAUAUUUAAUAAAACAUUAUGAUCAAAAUUUUAGGUUGGGGCGACCACGGAGAAAAACAAAACCUCCGAGAUGAAGAGAAUAUCUUAAUUCAAGAAUCACAAUUCUAAAAAAUAAAAUAUUUAACAUAAUUGAUCCAAUAUAUUGAUCAACGAACCAAGUUACCCUAGGGAUAACAGCGCAAUCCUCUCCAAGAGUCCCUAUCGACGAGCGGGUUUACGACCUCGAUGUUGGAUCAGGACACCCCAAUGGUGCAGCCGCUAUUAAAGGUUCGUUUGUUCUACGAUUAAUGU